rnacentral:rRNA from 1 species
GAAUUAUUGGGCGUAAAGCGUUCGUAGGCUGUUUAUUAAGUUGGGGGUGAAAUCUCCGGGCUCAACCCGGAGCUCGUUCUCAAAACUGGUAGACUUGAGUAAGGUAGAGGCUGACGGAAUUCUGCAAGUAGGGGUAAAAUCCGUUGAUCUGCAGAGGAACACCAAAAGCGAAGGCAGUCAGCUGGGCCUUUACUGACGCUGAGGGACGAAAGCGUGGGUAGCGAACGGGAUUAGAUACCCCGGUAGUCCACGCCGUAAAUGAUGGAUACUGGACAUUGGUACUCGAUCGUAUCAGUGUCUCAAGCUAACGCAUUAAGUAUCCCGCCUGGGGAGUACGGUCGCAAGAUUAAAACUCAAAGGAAUAGACGGGGACCCACACAAGCGGUGGAGCAUGUGGUUUAAUUCGACAAUAAGCGAGGAACCUUACCAGGGCUUGACAUCCCGAGAAUUCUUUAGAAAUAGAGAAGUGCCUUUAUGGAACUCGGUGACAGGUGCUGCAUGGUUGUCGUCAGCUCGUGCCUUGAGGUGUUCGGUUAAGUCCGUAAACGAGCGCAACCCUAGUCCUAUGUUGUAUAUUUCAUAGGAGACUGCCUUGUCCAACGAGGAGGAAGGUUAGGAUGACGUCAAAUCAGCAUGGCCCUUAUGUCCUGGGCGACACACGUGCUACAAUGGUCGGUACAAUGGGUAGCCAACCCGCGAGGGGGAGCCAAUCCCAUCAAAGCCGGUCCAAGUUCGGAUUGGAGGCUGCAACUCGCCUCCAUGAAGUUGGA